rnacentral:rRNA from 1 species
UACGGAGGAUCCAAGCGUUAUCCGGAAUCAUUGGGUUUAAAGGGUCCGUAGGCGGUUUAAUAAGUCAGUGGCGAAAGCCCAUCGCUCAACGGUGGAACGGCCAUUGAUACUGUUAAACUUGAAUUAUUAGGAAGUAACUAGAAUAUGUAGUGUAGCGGUGAAAUGCUUAGAGAUUACAUGGAAUACCAAUUGCGAAGGCAGGUUACUACUAAUGGAUUGACGCUGAUGGACGAAAGCGUGGGUAGCGAACAGG